rnacentral:piRNA from 1 species
UGUAUUGAGGCCUGAAACAACAAAC